rnacentral:rRNA from 1 species
UACGUAGGUCCCGAGCGUUGUCCGGAUUUAUUGGGCGUAAAGCGAGCGCAGGUGGUUUAUUAAGUCUGGUGUAAAAGGCAGUGGCUCAACCAUUGUAUGCAUUGGAAACUGGUAGACUUGAGUGCAGGAGAGGAGAGUGGAAUUCCAUGUGUAGCGGUGAAAUGCGUAGAUAUAUGGAGGAACAUCAGUGGCGAAGGCGACUUUCUGGACUGUAACUGACGCUGAGGCACGAAAGUGUGGGGAGCAAACAGG